rnacentral:rRNA from 1 species
GACGAACGCUGGCGGCGUGCUUAACACAUGCAAGUCGAGCGGAAAGGCCCUUCGGGGUACUCGAGCGGCGAACGGGUGAGUAACACGUGAGUAAUCUGCCCUUGGCUUUGGGAUAACUACCGGAAACGGUGGCUAAUACCGGAUACGACAACCGUCUGCAUGGGCUGGUUGUGGAAAGUUUUUUCGGCCAGGGAUGUGCUCGCGGCCCAUCAGCUUGUUGGUGGGGUAAUGGCCUACCAAGGCUUCGACGGGUAGCCGGCCUGAGAGGGUGACCGGCCACACUGGGACUGAGACACGGCCCAGACUCCUACGGGAGGCAGCAGUGGGGAAUAUUGGACAAUGGGCGGAAGCCUGAUCCAGCAACGCCGCGUGAGGGAUGACGGCCGUCGGGUUGUAAACCUCUUUCAGUACCGACGAAGCGCCGAUGAUGGUGGUGACGGUAGGUACAGAAGAAGCACCGGCCAACUACGUG